GUAAGAGCAGUUGUAGUCAACACUAGCUUUGGGAGCUUGUACUUAAAGUUAUACUUUACUCUUAAA
rnacentral:tRNA from 1 species